rnacentral:lncRNA from 1 species
AUUUUUCUGUUAGCCAACAUUAGGGAUCCAACCCUGAACUGAGCAUUUUUCUGUUAGCCAGCAUUAGGGCUCCAACCCUGAACUGAGCAUUUUUUUCCAGUUAGCCAGCAUUAGGGCUCCAACCCUGAACUGAGCAUUUUUUCUGUUAGCCAGCAUUAGGGCUCCAACCCUGAACUGAGUAUUUUCCAUUUAGCCAACAUUAGGGCUCCAACCCUGAACUGAGCAUUUUUCUGUUAGCCAGCAUUAGGGCUCCAACCCUGAACUGAGCAUUUUUCUGUUAGCCAGCGUUAGGGCUCUAACCCCUGAACUGAGC